rnacentral:rRNA from 1 species
UCCGGUUGAUCCCGCCAGAGACCAUUGCUAUCCGAGUUCUACUAAGCCAUGCGAGCCGAUCGGGUUCCCGAGGCGAAUUGCUCCGUAAUACGUAGUCAACCUGCCCUUAGCUGGCGGACAACCUUGGGAAACUGAGGCUAAUCCGCCAUAGUUCUGGUUAACUGGAAGUGACUAGAACAAAAGCUCUUGCGGCUGGAUGGGACUGCGGCCGAUCAGGCUGUUGAUGGUGUAACGAACUAUCAAACCUAUUACCGGUAGGGGCUAUGGAAGUAGGAACCCCGAGAUGGACUCUGAGACAUGAGUCCAGGUACUACGGUACGCAGCAGGCGAGAAAACUUUUCAAUGCCUUCACGGGCGAAAAGGGGACUUGGAGUGCUUCUCACUGCAGAACUUUUGCUCUCUGAAAACGCGAGGGUGAAUAAGGGCCGGGCAAACGGGUGCCAGCCGCCACGGUAAUACCCGAGGCCCGAGUGAUGGUCACUGUUAUUGGGUCUAAAGCGUCCGUAGCCGGCUUGGUAAGUUCCCUGUGAAAUCUGUCAGUAAACUGGCAGGCUUGCGGGGAAUACUGUCAGGCUUGAGACCGGGAGAGGGUAUAGGUACUUCUAGGGUAGGGGUUAAAUCCUUUAAUCCUAGGGGGACCACCUGUGGCGAAGGCGUCUACCUAGAACGGGUCUGACGGUGAGGGACGAAGGCUAGGGGAGCGAAUGGGAUUAGAUACCCCAGUAGUCCUAGCAGUAAACAAUGCCCACUUGGUGUUGCAAUCUUCUUGGGAGAUUGCAGUGCCGGAGCGUAGGUGUUAAGUGGGCCACCUGGGGAGUAUGCUCGCAAGGGUGAAACUUAAGGGAAUUGGCGGGGGAGCACACAAGCGGUGGAGGCUGCGGUUCAAAUGGAUUCAACGCC